CAAUAGCGUAUAUUUAAGUUGCUGCAGUUAAAAAGCUCGUAGUUGGAUUUCGGGUGGGAAUGGCCGGUCCGCCGUUUCGGUGUGCACUUGCUACGCCCACCUUGCUGCCGGGGACGUGCUCUUGAGUUCACGCUCGGGACACGGAGUCGGCGAGGUUACUUUGAGUAAAUUAGAGUGUUCAAAGCAGGCCUACGCUCUGAAUACAUUAGCAUGGAAUAACACGAUAGGACUCUGGCCUAUCUUGUUGGUCUGUAGGACCGGAGUAAUGAUUAAGAGGGACAGUCGGGGGCAUUCGUAUUUCAUUGUCAGAGGUGAAAUUCUUGGAUUUAUGAAAGACGAACUACUGCGAAAGCAUUUGCCAAGGAUGUUUUCGUUAA
rnacentral:rRNA from 1 species